UACGUAGGGUCCGAGCGUUGUCCGGAAUUAUUGGGCGUAAAGGGCUCGUAGGCGGUUUGUCGCGUCGGGAGUGAAAACUCAGGGCUCAACCCUGAGCGUGCUUCCGAUACGGGCAGACUAGAGGUAUGCAGGGGAGAACGGAAUUCCUGGUGUAGCGGUGGAAUGCGCAGAUAUCAGGAGGAACACCGGUGGCGAAGGCGGUUCUCUGGGCAGUACCUGACGCUGAGGAGCGAAAGCAUGGGGAGCGAACAGG
rnacentral:rRNA from 1 species